rnacentral:rRNA from 1 species
UACGAAGGGGGCUAGCGUUGCUCGGAAUCACUGGGCGUAAAGGGUGCGUAGGCGGGUCUUUUAAGUCAGGGGUGAAAUCCUGGAGCUCAACUCCAGAACUGCCUUUGAUACUGAGGAUCUUGAGUUCGGGAGAGGUGAGUGGAGCUGCGAGUGUAGAGGUGAAAAUUUCGUAGAUAUUCGCAAGAACACCAGUGGCGAAGGCGGCUCACUGGCUCGUAACUGACGCUCAUGCACGACAGCGUGGGGGAUCAAACAGG